UAAUACGUAGGGCGCGAGCGUUGUCCGGAAUUAUUGGGCGUAAAGAGCUCGUAGGCGGCCUGUUGCGUCCGCUGUGAAAUCCCAGGGCUUAACCCUGGGUCUGCAGUGGAUACGGGCAGGCUGGAGGCAGGCAGGGGAGAACGGAAUUCCCGGUGUAGCGGUGAAAUGCGCAGAUAUCGGGAGGAACACCGGUGGCGAAGGCGGUUCUCUGGGCCUGUACUGACGCUGAGGAGCGAAAGCGUGGGGAGCGAACAGGAUUAGAUACCCUGGUAGUCCACGC
rnacentral:rRNA from 1 species